UACAGGGGGGGCAAGCGUUGUUCGGAAUUACUGGGCGUAAAGGGUCUGUAGGUGGCCAACUAAGUCAGACGUGAAAUCCCUCAGCUUAACUGGGGAACUGCGUCUGAUACUGGAUGGCUCGAGUGUGGGAGAGGAAUGCGGAAUUCCAGGUGUAGCGGUGAAAUGCGUAGAUAUCUGGAGGAACACCGGUGGCGAAGGCGGCAUCCUGGACCGGCAUUGACGCUGAGGAGCGAAAGCUAAGGGGAGCAAACGGG
rnacentral:rRNA from 1 species